GGGCCUAACACAUGCAAGUCGAACGCACUCGACCUUCGGGUCACAUGAGUGAGUGGCGAACGGGUGAGUAACACGUGAGGAACCUGCCCCGAAGACUGGAAUAACCCGAGGAAACUCGGGCUAAUACCGGAUAUCCCCACCAGGUCGCAUGGCCAGGUGAGGAAAUGCUCCGGCGCUUCGGGAGGGUCUCGCGGCCUAUCAGCUAGUUGGUGAGGUAACGGCUCACCAAGGCAUCGACGGGUAGCUGGUCUGAGAGGACGAUCAGCCACACUGGGACUGAGACACGGCCCAGACUCCUACGGGAGGCAGCAGUGGGGAAUCUUGCGCAAUGGGCGAAAGCCUGACGCAGCCACGCCGCGUGAGGGAUGAAGGCUUUCGGGUUGUAAACCUCUUUCAGCAGGGACGAAAAUGACGGUACCUGCAGAAGAAGCUCCGGCCAACUACGUGCCAGCAGCCGCGGUAACACGUAGGGAGCAAGCGUUGUCCGGAUUUAUUGGGCGUAAAGAGCUCGUAGGCGGUUCAGUCAGUCGGGUGUGAAAACUUGAGGCUCAACCUCAAGAGGCCACUCGAUACUGCUGUGACUAGAGUCCGGUAGAGGAGUGUGGAAUUCCUGGUGUAGCGGUGAAAUGCGCAGAUAUCAGGAGGAACACCGACAGCGAAGGCAGCACUCUGGGCCGGUACUGACGCUGAGGAGCGAAAGCAUGGGGAGCAAACAGGAUUAGAUACCCUGGUAGUCCAUGCCGUAAACGUUGGGCACUAGGUGUGGGGUCUCGCUAACAGAUUCCGUGCCGCAGCUAACGC
rnacentral:rRNA from 1 species